GUGCCAGCAGCCGCGGUAAUACAGAGGUGGCAAGCGUUGUUCGGAAUUAUUGGGCGUAAAGAGCACGUAGGUGGGUUUGUAAGUCAGUUGUGAAAGCCUUAUGUUCAACGGAAGAAUUGCAUCUGAAACUGCUAGUCUUGAGUGUAGGAGGGGAGAAUGGAACUUCUGGUGGAGCUGUGAAAUGCGUAGAUAUCAGAAGGAACACCGGCGGCGAAAGCGAUUCUCUGGCCUAUUACUGACACUCAGGGUGCGAAAGCUAGGGGAGCAAACGGGAUUAGAUACCCCGGUAGUCCUGGCUGUAAACGAUGGGCACUAAGUAGAGGGAAUUACCGAUGUUCUCUCUGCCGUAGCUAACGCAUUAAGUGCCCCGCCUGGGGAGUACGGCCGCAAGGCUAAAACUUAAAGAAAUUGACGG
rnacentral:rRNA from 1 species